rnacentral:misc_RNA from 1 species
GGUAGAUGAAGCUAGUCUAACCAGCCUAACCCGAGGAUUAAUUGUAAGCGUAUUAAUUAUGGGAUAUGUGCGCACAAACCACUGGAUGUAGAUUGUAAAAAUAUGACUGCAAUGCCGCAGUAAGCUGAUCACAUGAUUGUUGUAGCUAGAGUGUCUCGGACUAACUCUAGUCACACCAAGCGCGCGCGCUAGAGGUCCUCGCCAGCCAGCGAAGGUCGCCAUAUCUGAACAGCCGAGUGAACCUCGUCAUCCUGGGUUGACAACACUGGGGCUGCGGGACUAUUGCUAACACCGACAGUCAGCAGGAACAUCCUACACACUGCUUAUCAUUCUUACAAGUGACAUUUAUACUCAGCCAGCAGGUCAGCCACUCGUGACCGACAGCCUCUGGGAGCGACACUGACUUUACUGUCUCACACUAGGGCGAGGCUUGCAGGAAUCAAUCAUUGUCACCUUGGUGGCCAAAGGUGAGCUGGAAUCAGCUAGCCCAGAGAAAACAGAGCGAAGACGCGAACAGAAGAGGAGACAUGCGCAGAAGAAGAGGGAACAGGAAAAGAAAAGAAAACACUCUCUGGAAGAAGAGAACACGCGAUUAAAGACAGAGAACGAGAAGCUGAGCAGAAUCACUGAAAAAUUGCGAUUCGUGGCUAAUAUCCUGCAAGGAGUAGCCAAUCACGCGAGGGAGUCCUGCAAUAAGAUGCCAACACCGGAAAUUCCAUCAUCUGACAUGGAGCAGAGAAAUGUGCCCUCCACAUCCCACCAAAGCCGAGUGGAUCAGUCUCCAGCAUCAACCUCUGGGCCAACCCACGACACCUCAAAGAUGGUGGCACCACCUCCACCAGCCUCGUGGCAGAAGUUGAACGAGGCAGUUCUUCAACCGAAGUUCAACUUCCCGUUUGAAGAUGGUGAAGACGAAGAACUGGGCAGCGACCCCGAGUUGUUGUCAGCCCUCCCCUCCCUGUCUGGCUUUGAGUACGGCAAGACUCUGCUGGACGACUUCAUGUCCGAGUGCGCCUCGUCAGACUGUAACUCCAUGAGGCUGACAGUCUUUCCUGAAGAUGGUGCUACAGGUGCCAGCUAGCACAGGUCAUGUUCUUGCCCGCAGGAUGGCACAGGCAGAGGUCACAGGUUAGCAAAGGUCGCUAGUCUGUCCCACGAGCGAACAGCAAGGUUGCUAGGAAUCAGGCUGGCUAGCCAAGGAGCGAAAGUCAGCCUCGACAGUGACACUUUGAACUGUUUAUGGAAUGUAGUGUCCGUGACUGUACUAAAGGAUAAAUAACUAGAUUGAAAGUUUGUUUGUACAUAAUAUUUCGUUUAGUCGCUGUUAUUUCGCUUACGUGGGUUCACAUGUUGCGUGGGAAUAAUGAUGGCGGUUGAGAUCAUUAUAUAAACUCUACAGCAAUCAUUGGAGCACCACCUUCUCCUUGAGGAGCUUCACCAAGCAGUUUUUUUUUUAUUUAGGCACUUCUCGUUGUUGUUUAAUAUUUUAAAAGAUGUGUAUGAGGGUUUUAUCGUAGGAGCUGUUACUAUGUCUAUAAUUUAUCAUUAUAUUUAAUUGUGUGUUAUUGGUGAGCGACAUUAAGGUUGAUAAUGCUUGUAUUUAUAUCGGGUGGUUUUAGGUGACAGAGGAAUAUACCUGUAUGUGGUUUACAAUUUCCUGGUGAAGGUGUAUCACAGCUUUGUUUGCUAUUUGUAGAGUUCUUGAUUUCUUCGGUGCAAGGACUUCACGGUAACUGAGUCUGAGAAGACUACAGAAAAAAAACAACAACAACGAGAAAGUCCGUCACUUUAAAAAGGCAAAGGAGGUGAGAGGUGGUGGGACGAGGAAGAAUACAAAUCCUGUGUUCAUGUACAUAUAGGCAUGCGAUUGUUUCCCUUUUAUACAAACUUACCACGUGUAUGUGCACCCGCCUUCUGUUUGGACUAGCAUUAGCUAAUAAGAUUGCUUCUAAGUCUCAUCGAUCAACUUUUCCGUCGUAUCAUCUAUGCUCCAUGUAUCUACCAUAUCAAAAUGUAAAUUUUUUUAAAAAUUAAUCAUUCAAGUUACAGGCAGCGGACUGCAAUGAUGGAUUCGUAAGACAUGUUUCACCUCAGGUUCUUCGUUUGUCCCUUAGGUACAUGCAGAAGCGCAAUUCCCUGGGAAAACCCAUUCACCCUGCACGUCCACCCUUUGAUCCACCCGGUGCAGAAAAAUAGUAACGUCCCCUGAGGGCGGUAACCUGAUCGUGACGUCAGGGGGCGCUCAAGGCGGUAUCCGCAUUCCACUGUUGUUGUUAUUCGCUCAUUCCGAAACAUGUUAAGAUUGAAAGAUCUCUCCUCUUGAGGUUCGAGUUAAUAUCAGAGUUGUUUUGUUUUGGCUUUUAAUGGUCGGGUGGUGUGGGCGUGGGCGGGGACUAUAAAAGCACCCGGUAGUUACAAUUUGUUACACUGUAAAUACAUAAAUCACAGUCAGGAGGUUGAGGUCAAUGCAAUCAGAGGACACCUCGCAUUCGUUGUGUUUGCGCGUGCAGUGAAGCAUAAUAUUAUCAGGGCUCGUGGUCCGACAGUUCAAAAUGUCCGACGUUGAUGACAUUGGGUUAUUGUCUGUAGGACACGGCGACACGGUUUCAGCAUGAACACAUUGGGCAUUUAUACUGAUAUUUAAAUCGGUUUUCAUUCACGAUAUUUUUUUAAAUAUUUAUUUCUACGAGACCAUCACAAGUAUUUAGAACAGCUACAACAUGUUCACGAGUACUUUUAAAGAUGAAAAUCUUUCAAGUGCUCGAAAACAGUUAUAAUGCUUUCAUGAUGAGCCAGUCUGUACAAAAUCUGGCUUAGCUGAAAAAAGAUGUCUGAUUAUGUCAUGAGAUUACAGUGCCUACUACCUACAUAAGCUAAUAAAACGAUAGUUUUCACUAAUACGCUUCUUUGAAUGUUUCUUGAUCAUUUUUUGGUGCAAUAAAGGUAGCAGCACUA